rnacentral:rRNA from 1 species
UGGGGAAUUGUUCACAAUGGGCGCAAGCCUGAUGACGCAACGCCGCGUGGAGGAUGAAGGUCUUCGGAUUGUAAACUCCUGUUGCUCGGGACGAAAAGCUCUGACCUAACACGUUAGAGUCUGACGGUACCGAGUGAGGAAGCCCCGGCUAACUCCGUGCCAGCAGCCGCGGUAAUACAGAGGGGGCAAGCGUUGUUCGGAAUUACUGGGCGUAAAGGGCGCGUAGGCGGCCCUCUAAGUCAGACGUGAAAUCCCCGGGCUCAACCCGGGAACUGCGUCUGAUACUGGAGGGCUUGAAUCCGGGAGAGGGAUGCGGAAUUCCAGGUGUAGCGGUGAAAUGCGUAGAUAUCUGGAGGAACACCGGUGGCGAAGGCGGCAUCCUGGACCGGUAUUGACGCUGAGGCGCGAAAGCCAGGGGAGCAAACAGGAUUAGAUACCCCCGUAGUCCCUGAGCGGGCUGGCAAGGCG